UACUUUAAAUUGAAUUUUUAUUUGUACACUCAAAUGUAUGUAGGACAUAAAAUGUUUACAGAAAAAGUUAAAAGUUUUAUUUUAAACAAUUUCAGUUAAUACUUUGAGAAAGAGACACAUACUUAAAGCGUGAGACACGAAUACAGCGAGCGGCUACAUGUUAAGUGGUUUAAAACAAUAUAUUGUGAACUUGUACAAAAGUGGAUCACAGAGAAUGAGAAGAAGUGUACAAAAUAUCAGCUAGAAAUGCACGAUUUACGUCCUUAAGAAAUACCUUCACUUCAUACAAAAGAUUUGUGAAGGGUCCCAACCGUGGUGGACCUCAUCAAUAUGACAGUCACUGCAUUAAACACGUCAAAGCAAAAACAGGUUAAAAAAAAAAAAAAAGUGUCAAUGCAUUAAUACAAUAAGAACUAUUGAGUAGUUUGGGGAUUAAUACCUCAGUCUAUAUGAAAAACAAUGGUUUAGUCACUUGGCAGGCAUUUUCAGGAGACCCGAUUACAGAGGUGUAAAAUUUAGGCUGCAAUAGAUAAUAGAAAAAUAUCAAUCUCAGCCAUUGGUAAAAACACUUCGUACUCUGUUGCCAGGACACAUCAUGGUUUAGAGAACAAACCCCUACGUUUUAGGUCAUACAUGAUGAGUUAGCAAUCUAAUCCUCACAACCCUAUUCUACAAUACAUUUUACUGUAUUAUGGUACCAAAUUUGUCACUAUCUGUCUGAAAACACUGACCUCUGAUCCCUUGGUGUGAGAUUUUCAAAGCACCUUCCCGAGUCCCAGAAAGAAGCCUUUUAUAUCCGUGUCCAUUUGAGAAACUCUCUCGAUGUUACUAUAACUCAUACUCAGUCUCUCUUGGGACUGGCAGUAUGAGAGCCAUCCACCAAGUCCUAAUGGGUCUCCACAAACUGGGAAUAGUAAUACAAAGUAACGAGGAUGUAGACUAGACUAAACAAAAAAAUGGCACCUUUUCAAAACUGGGCAUUAUGCAGUUAUCAUUUAACAAGAGGUAGAAAGGGAAUAGAAAAUAACUGUUUCUGUGGUAUGUUCCUAUUAAAAAGAUGGCCAAAACAGAAGAAUGCCUAAAAUGGUCACAUCUCUGCUUUGUGAUAUGUUAAAGUUUAUUCUCAGCUGGGAUGUAAACAGGGCAUUUAAGCCCUAAAGCAUGUGACAAUCUGUAUUCCUCUGAAGCAUACAUUUACAAGAAUAAUUUUCAGAUUUAUCAGGACAAAAAUUAAUCUCCCAUUACCAGAAACUGAUUUGGAAUACAGAAUUUCACUUUCCGUGUUCAGAGACUCUUCAACCGCUCAAAACUGAUGACAAAUAAAUAAAAUGCCCAUUCUUUUCAUAUGAGGCUAGCAAAAGCAAUGGAUGAGAAAAUACACAUUAUUUUAUUCACAGGAAAUACAGAUUUAAAUAAUACAGAUUUUAGGUCUGCUGGCUCUAAAAAAUAUCCAUAGAUGUUGGCAAUAACCAAGCAAUGAUGGAAGUGUGCAAAACCACAGUGGAGGAAAUUAGUUAACCUAGAUACAGACUGCAAAGCCCAGCUCACCUAUAGAAAACUCUCACAGUUGUGAUGUCCUAAGUACUGUUUUUUGGGAAGACUGACCGUAAAAGAAUCCAGUACAGAGAAUGAGCAGGUCAAGGUAAAUGAUGGCUGAUCUAGCAGGCCUUUUAUCUGAAAUCAUAAAAGGUAACGGGUUUAACCGGAAGAAUGAUUCAAAUCACCAAUGUGGAUAAAGGUAGCUUUACCUUCAAGAAACACCUUAUUCUAGCAAGCCAUUACUCCAGUAUGGUUUAGCACUUAGCCAGCCGAUUCCCGGCAUGCAGAACGAAAGAGAAAAACUGCUGCUUGGCAUUGAAUUAAAUAACACAAAGAGGAAGGGCGGUGGGUAUGAUACAAAACAGACAGAGCAUGUUUAAACUGAGGUAUGUCACGUCCACUGUCAGAGUUUCAGGGGCGUCUUUACAAUGUGGGAUAAGGAACAGUCUCUGAUCAAAAGCUGCAGACAAACACCAAGCACAGCCUGUAAAAAUAUCACAGUCCUGGGGUCAGGAGAACGGCGUACAAAUAAAUUACGUCUAUGGGGAAUGGGUUAGAAAGAAGGCAUCACGUUUUGAAAACAAAACAAAAAUAAAAAGUCAAACCGUUAUCUCAGUAAGACACUAGUGAAAGGUGUUUGGAUCUGCAAACGCAGACCGAAUUGCUUCACUUUCCGCCAUAAUGCUGCAUUGUCCGGUUAAUCCUUAACGCGUUCCAACUGCCCUCUUACAAUUAAAGAGGUAACAGAUGCAUUAAAUACAUUAGCAAUACUUUUAAGUUUUUAAAAACUUUUGAAAUCAGUUUUUAUUCUAUGGUCACAUCAAUUCUAUGAUUUGUGCGUCCACAGUUCUGCAAGAACACCAUGAUCAGAAAAAUAAACCCUCAAUUACACAAUACCAGCACCACAUUAUUUACGUUAUAAAUACUUUUUACAUAGUUCACAUGAUCUAAUCGCAGACAGUACUCCUCAACUAAUACUGGUCACGUCGGCUGCAACGCAAGCCCUCAAAAAAAAUUCCUAAAAAGGAAAGACGGUGAAGAAUUUAAAUCAAUACUGGAGGCCUGGUCGAAUACCCCAGCAGACGUUUGUCGACCUCUGUCCCAGGCAAGGAGAAAGGAGAGUACCUCAAGGCCGAGUUAAAAAUCCUUAGACAUAUCUACGAAAUGCCAGUCAUUGGCAUUUAAUCAGUUUUUGGGGUGAGUUUUUCUUUUUUUUUAAAAUGUAUUUAUUUUUUUUAAACAGAACUUUUUGGGCCUUGGCAGCUCCUCUAUCGUUUUCCGAUGCCUGAAAUUAAUUAAAUCAAGCAAUGUGAGCCACACUAAUGGCACUGAAAAUUCACAGCAUUAAUUAAUCUCAGCACAGGUAUUUUUUCUCUCCCUAGGAGUCAUGGGAGACAAUUUUGUGUUAUUACAGUCGUACGUGAAUGUGUAGAUUUGGAAUGUAUAGUUAUGAAGGUUUGCAUUUUUAUGUAUAUAUAUUUAAAUUCAUAUAUAAGUGCUUAUAUAAACUGAGGGAAGAAAACUCCCUUUUUUCUUAACUGUUGACAUGUCAAGUUUGAAAAUACGGUCGUCAAAAUUCAUAAAGAAAUACAUCCUUUUCGUUUCAAAAGUAUAGGAUUUUAAGAAAGAGAAAUUUUUUUUUUUUAGAUACAAAUCUCUUUGCUUUGUAAACAUUAGAUGAGCCAGCUGCUGCUAUUUCUAGAGUGUGCCGUGCCAAAAAUCUGGAAAAAAAAUAAAAAAAAAUAUAUAUAUAUAUAUAUAUGCUCCAGCAGACUUUAGAAUAAAUUCAAUGGCCACAGCAGCAAUGGCGGAAUGGGCAGAAUUUCAGCGGUUACAAUGAGGAAAAAAAAUAAUAUAUAUUUUUUUAGAAGAUACACAGUGUGUUCACAGUUGUUCGUAAAGAACAAGUUAAGUCAGUGCUUUGUGUGCAUCUUAAAAUCUCUCCCUCGUCUUACCACAUAUUCAAGAGUCAAGUAAUACUGACUAAAGUUUGCUAUAAGGUCGUCAUACGUGACGAAUCAUAUCGGCAGACGGACUCUUGUACAGAUACUUCCAAAUGGCGUAAUAAUGCACAGCAGCUGCCAGGGCCACAAACAGGUGCCAAAUGGCAUGGGCAAAGGGGAUAAUGCCAUCACUUUUGAAGAACACUACUCCCAAGCAGUAGAUGAGUCCGCCCCAAGCAAGUUCGUGUAAACCGUCGGUGUUAUUCUAGAACAGAGGGCAAAGAGAUUAAAACACACAGUCAAUGCGAUACUUACUUCAUAAAUUAAUAAGAAACACAUUCAAGAUCUAUUAGUCAUUAAAAAUGUGAAAAACUACAAAAAAAAAAUAAAAAUUGCACAGCACGGGUUAUAAAAUGUUUUUCUAAAAGUAUACUUGAAGCAUAAAAAGAUGUAUUUAAAUUUAAACAAAUACUGCAAGACUAUGAUAUUCUUUUGGUUACAUGAUAACUAAAAACGAAUGGCUUAUUACAUUAGAGGACUCAUAUAAACAAAAACACCAUUAACCGGUUAACUGUGAUCAUUGUUAGUCUAUAAUUUUUAGAGAUUGUUCAAAGUAAAUCAGAGCUAAAUUUCUUAGGUGUUGGAGGAGGGGCAGGCUUAUCAAACUUUUCCAAUACAUUUUGGAAUAAUAUUCCUGAUCAACUAAGUUUUUUUUUUUUUAAAGAUAGUGUAUUAAGGUUGUAUUGUUAGUAAUACUGGGUCUAACAAGAAAUAUAACAGACAUCUGCAGUAUUUUCAAGCUAUUUCACAGCAAAUAUAAGGAUAAUUAAAUACAUAUACUAACAUUUUACUUGUAAACUGAAAGGACAUUUAUACAGAGCCUAAUAAAACCUAUUUACCUAAAAUGUUUUAAAUCACAGUAAACCCUUUAAUAAAUAACCCAGCAAAAUUGUAAUCAGAAACUAUCACACACACACACGACUGAAAGUUAAUUAAACUGGCCAGUGAACUAUAGGGACCCAUCAAGGACCGGACAUCUAAAACCAGGUUGAUUGACGUGUCAUAAAAUUCCUAGGUUAAAGCUAGAGAUUAUUUAAAGAAAUUAAUUUCCAGAUGGCUCUAUCAACUAUGCAGAUGGCAGAAUUAUAAUCCACGUGACAGUUGCUGACUAAAUCUGGUAUUUCAGUGCCAGCGAUGUAGCAAUCUGAUCAGAAUUUAUUGGAAUAAACAAGUCUGAAAAUCUUUGGCACCAAAAAUACACAAAAAAAAAAAAGCCUGUCUAGAACAGAUUUAUACAGUCAGGGAAAAAAACUACACCAUCUUUGAAUUCUGUGGCUAUACAUAUCGGGACAUAAGUACAAUUAUCUGUUUUACGGAUGCACUGAAAUGAAAAUUCUGGGCCGAAACCAAAAAUUCAGGAUGCCCUUGGCCAAAAACGGACUUUAAAAAAAAAA